rnacentral:rRNA from 1 species
UGGGGAAUCUUAGACAAUGGGGGAAACCCUGAUCUAGCCAUGCCGCGUGAGCGAUGAAGGCCUUAGGGUUGUAAAGCUCUUUCAGCUGGGAAGAUAAUGACGGUACCAGCAGAAGAAGCCCCGGCUAACUCCGUGCCAGCAGCCGCGGUAAUACGGAGGGGGCUAGCGUUGUUCGGAAUUACUGGGCGUAAAGCGCACGUAGGCGGAUUAGUCAGUCAGAGGUGAAAUCCCAGGGCUCAACCCUGGAACUGCCUUUGAUACUGCUAGUCUUGAGGUCGAGAGAGGUGAGUGGAAUUCCGAGUGUAGAGGUGAAAUUCGUAGAUAUUCGGAGGAACACCAGUGGCGAAGGCGGCUCACUGGCUCGAUACUGACGCUGAGGUGCGAAAGCGUGGGGAGCAAAACAGGAUUAGAUACCCUGGUAGUCCACGCCGUAAACGAUGAAUGCCAGUCGUCGGGUUGCAUGCAAUUCGGUGACACACCUAACGGGNUUUAACUUCCGCCUGGGGAGUACGGUCGCAAGAUUAAACUCAAAUGAAUUGACGGGGUCAUAGCUGUUUCCUG